rnacentral:lncRNA from 1 species
ACAAUGAUCAUGUUUUUUUAACGGUUUUGAAAGAGCCCCUGAUUGGGCCAGGGUGGCAUUUACCUGGUGGAGUCUUAGUCCGGUAGCAUGACGAUUAAAACUAAAUUAUUCGGCUAAUGUCUCGUCCGCUACAUAGGCAAAUUAGUCUGAGACUGCAAUCACGGAGGGGGUUCGCUUAUCUGGCCCGAAGAGUUUGAACCGGGUGAAACGUGAUUGCUUUCGUUUUGGAACGGGGCUGCCUCCGGGGCGUGAGCCAGUGCCCAGCGCUCGCCGACCGCGAACACUGACCAAAACAAACGUGACAUAGCCACGCACGUGUAGUAAUGAGUGGGAUUGUGUUUUCACAUGCAAAGGCAGAGCAGGCAACAGAUGGCACACAGACAGCAGAGUUGGGGACAGAUAUGCAGGGACAGACUGGCAGAGACAGGGAGUCUCAGGCAGAGCAGGCAACAGAUGGCACACAGACAGCAGAGUUGGGGACAGAUAUGCAGGGACAGACUGGCAGUCUCAGACGCUUUAUCUGGACAUGGUUCGUCAGGACCUCCAACAGCCGAAGCUAAGUAUUAACAUUAACAUGAUGCCUUCUAAUUGCAGUCGUUGUACUCAUAAUAUACAGGAGAACGAUCGCCUUACGGCGAGGAUAGCUGUGCUGCAAGCCCAGCUUCAGACGCAAUCGUUAGGCAAGGGUAAUUUAAGUGUAGGAAAGGAUGAAACAGCGUCUGUGCCACCAGUAAGUACAGAUAGCAGUAUAAAUCCCCUCGCACGGUCCCCGCAGCCGGACAACUUUCUCAUGGCUUCUGGAGGGAAAUGCUGUAGGAAUGCUCAACCGGUGUCGCUCAUUCAGCCGACGAAAACGUUCAAUCGGUUCUCCCCAUUAAGCAGCAAGUCGGAGUCAGAGGCCGAGCCUUCUCUGGUCUCUAUUCCUCCUGUUACGAGGUCUGAGAUGCCGAAGCCUCCCACCAUUUGCUCUGACAAAUUUAAAACCCUAGUCAUUGGCGACUCCAUUACCCGCAGUAUUAGAAUUAAAAUGAAUCAUCCAGUGAUCAUACACUGUUUAUCAGGGGGCAGGGCUACCGAUGUUAAGGCUAAUCUGAAGAUGGUGCUGGCUAAAGCUAAAACUGGCGAGUGUAGAGAGUAUAGGGAUAUUGUUAUCCACAUCGGCAGCAACGAUGUUAGGAUGAAACAGUCAGAGGUCACCAAGCGCAACAUAGCUUCAGCGUGUAAAUCAGCUAGAAAGAUGUGUCGGCAUUGAGUAAUUGUCUCUGGCCCCAUCCCAGUUAGGGGGAGUGAUGAGCUCUACCGCAGUCUCACAACUCAAUUGCUGGUUGAAAACUGUUUUCUGCCCCUUCCAAAAGAUAGAAUUUGUAGAUAAUUGGCCCUCUUUCUGGGACUCACCCACAAACAGGACCAAGCCUGGCCUGUUGAGGAGUGACGGACUCCAUCCUAGCUGGAGGGAUGCUCUCAUCUUAUCUACAAACACAGACAGGGCUCUAACUCCCCUAGCUCCACAAUGAAAUAGGGUGCAGGCCAGGCAGCAGGCUGUUAGCCAGCAUGCCAGCUUAGUGGAGUCUGCCACUAGCACAGUCAGUGUAGUCAGCUCAGCUAUCCCCAUUGAGA